rnacentral:rRNA from 1 species
UAUCGGGGUCCGAUUUAGCCAUGCUAGUCGCGCGGGUUAGACCCGCGGCGUAUAGCUCAGUAACACGUGGCCAAACUACCCUACAGACGGGAACAACCUCGGGAAACUGAGGCUAACUCCCGAUACGCGUCGACUGUUUGAACACGUCGACGUUCAAACGCUCCGGCGCUGUAGGAUGUGGCUGCGGCCGAUUAGGUAGACGGUGGGGUAACGGCCCACCGUGCCAAUAAUCGGUACGGGUUGUGAGAGCAAGAGCCCGGAGACGGAAUCUGAGACAAGAUUCCGGGCCCUACGGGGCGCAGCAGGCGCGAAACCUUUACACUGCACGCCAGUGCGAUAAGGGGACCCCGAGUGAAAGGGCAUAUCGCCCUUUCUUUUCUGAACCGUAGGGAGGUUCAGGAACAAGAGCUGGGCAAGACCGGUGCCAGCCGCCGCGGUAAUACCGGCAGCUCGAGUGAUGACCGAUCUUAUUGGGCCUAAAGCGUCCGUAGCUGGCCGCGCAAGUCCGUCGGGAAAUCCACCCGCUUAACGGGUGGGCGUCCGGCGGAAACUGUGCGGCUUGGGACAGGAAGGCUCGAGGGGUACGUUCGGGGUAGGAGUGAAAUCCCGUAAUCCUGAACGGACCGCCGAUGGCGAAAGCACCUCGAGAGGACUGAUCCGACAGUGAGGGACGAAAGCUGGGGUCUCGAACCGGAUUAGAUACCCGGGUAGUCCCAGCCGUAAACGAUGUUCGCUAGGUGUGUCACUCACUACGAGUGAGUGAUGUGCCGCAGGGAAGCCGCUAAGCGAACCGCCUGGGAAGUACGUCCGCAAGGAUGAAACUUAAAGGAAUUGGCGGGGA